GCUCAGUAACACGUGGAGAACGUGCCCUUAAGUGGGGGAUAAUCUCGGGAAAUUGAGGAUAAUACCCCAUAGAUCAUGGGAUCUGGAAUGACCCAUGGUCCAAAGUUCCGGCGCUUAAGGAUCGCUCUGCGGCCUAUCAGGUAGUAGUGGGUGUAAAGUACCCCCUAGCCUACGACGGGUAUGGGCCUUGAGAGAGGGAGCCCAGAGUUGGAUUCUGAGACACGAAUCCAGGCCCUACGGGGCGCAGCAGUCGCGAAAACUUCACACUGGGGGCAACCCCGAUGAGGGAAAUCCUAGUGCUAGGACAUUUGUUCUAGCUUUUCUCAAGCGUAGAUAACUUGAGGAAUAAGGGCUGGGUAAGACGGGUGCCAGCCGCCGCGGUAAUACCUGCAGCCCAAGUGGUGGUCGAUUUUAUUGAGUCUAAAACGUUCGUAGCCGGUUUGGUAAAUCUUUGGGUAAAUCGGGAGGCUCAACUUUCCGACUUCCGAAGAGACUGUCAAACUUGGGACCGGGAGAGGCUAGAGGUACUUCUGGGGUAGGGGUAAAAUCCUGUAAUCCUAGAAGGACCACCGGUGGCGAAGGCGUCUAGCUAGAACGGAUCCGACGGUGAGGGACGAAGCCCUGGGUCGCAAACGGGAUUAGAUACCCCGGUAGUCCAGGGUGUAAACGCUGCCGACUUGGUGUUGGAGGCCCUUCGGGGGCAUUCAGUGCCGGAGAGAAGUUGUUAAGUCGGCUACUUGGGGAGUACGUCCGCAAGGAUGAAACUUAAAGGAAUUGGCGGGGGAGCAC
rnacentral:rRNA from 1 species